rnacentral:rRNA from 1 species
ACUCCUACGGGAGGCAGCAGUGGGGAAUAUUGCACAAUGGGGGAAACCCUGAUGCAGCCAUGCCGCGUGUGUGAAGAAGGCCUUCGGGUUGUAAAGCACUUUCAGUAGGGAGAUGAAGGUAGUUAGUAGUUAACCACCUUGCUAUUAUUUGACCGUUACCUACAGAAGAAGCACCGGCUAACUCCGUGCCAGCAGCCGCGGUAAUACGGAGGGUGCGAGCGUUAAUCGGAAUUACUGGGCGUAAAGCGCAUGCAGGCGGCCUGUUAAGUCAGAUGUGAAAGCCCGGGGCUUAACCUCGGAAUUGCAUUUGAAACUGGCAGGCUAGAGUCUUGUAGAGGGGGGUAGAAUUUCAGGUGUAGCGGUGAAAUGCGUAGAGAUCUGAAGGAAUACCAGUGGCGAAGGCGGCCCCCUGGACAAAGACUGACGCUCAGAUGCGAAAGCGUGGGGAGCAAACAGGAUUAGAUACCCUGGUAGGAUAG